rnacentral:lncRNA from 1 species
UUUUUUUUUUUUUGGUUCUGGGGAUCAAACUCGGGACCUUGUGCUUGCAAGGCAGGCAGCAGAAACACUGAGCUAAAUCCCCAGCCCUACACUUAACUUUUUAGAUGGUUCCAAGCCAUGACAAGAUAAUGUGGCUUGCUUUAAAAAAUAUCAGUGGUUUAUAUAUGGUGCGUGUCUGUGUGCAUGCAUAUGUGUGUGUGUGUGUGUGUGUGUGUGUGUACAAGAAGUCACCAAGGAGCUUGUUGUACAUGUAGGUCUCAGAAUCACAAAUGAUCUCAAGGAACCUGGGAAUCUGCAUUUUUAGUAAGUAGCCAGGUGGGUAGUAUGUAAAUUUUCCACAGGCUUCAUUUUAAGAAGCCUUGGGUUAGGGAAUGAGUAGGGAUCAAGGAUGCCCAGGUGAGAUGGGGCCCUGAGGCGGCAGGGAAGGGUGGAUUUGUGUGUGUGUGUGUGUGUGUGUGUGUGUGUGUGUGUGUGCGUAUGUGGUACCAGGGAUUGAACUCCGGACCUUGUGCUUUUGAGGCAGGCGCCAGAACCACAGAGCUAAAUCCCCAGCUCAGGGAAAGGUAGAUUUUAUGGGAGUGUGGGCCCAAGUGUGAUGUGGACACACAGUAAGUGGGCAGUGUGGUGAUAGGUAGAUGAACUGAAAGAGAUCAGAACUCAUAACUCAAGAAAGGAGGAGCUGGCACAAACAACGAGGAUGCAGCAAGAUCCGAAGGAUUCAGUCAAGGCUCGAAGCCCUGGAGCUCACUGUAGAGUCCCUCUCGAGUCUGCGUAAGGAGGCUGAAGGUUCUGCAAUGGAAGCUGAAGAAUCCUCACUGGAAGCCAGGAGAUGAUGUCCACAGCGAAGGUGAAGACUGGAGCUCCUCCAAAAAAAACAGAGCUCAUCCUACUGACUUCUGCACUUGAUUGUAGCCAAGAGGCUGAGAAGCGGUCCUGCUGACUUCCAAAUGGGAAUAUUUGUGGUACAUUUCAGUUCCUUCCUCUCUCAUCUACCUCUUCCAGCUUCAGCAAAUGGUCAAUUAUGCUUCUAAAAUGUUCCUUUUGGAGCUUAUACUCCCAG